GAGCUUUGAGCGGAUGGGGGGAUUGGUGGCGGAGGCGGCAGCGGCGCCGAUUUGCUUCAUGAGAUGGGAUGAGGUGUUUGUGUCGAGCGACAAAGGGCGGAGGGAAGUCCAUUACUAUCUGAAACGCAGAGACGGCAGUUCAGAUCUGGCGGUGGUAGGCAAAGAGAAGAGCUUGCGGCACAUGUCCUAUCAUUAUGCUUUCCGAAUCCGGUCCUUGUUCUCCAUGUCGUCGCUCGCUAAGCUUAAAUCUCGC
rnacentral:lncRNA from 1 species